rnacentral:rRNA from 1 species
UCCAGACUCCUACGGGAGGCAGCAGUGGGGGAUAUUGCACAAUGGGGGGAACCCUGAUGCAGCGACGCCGCGUGGGUGAAGGAGCGUUUCGGCGCGUAAAGCCCUAUCGGCAGGGAAGAAGGAGGACGGUACCUGACUAAGAAGCCCCGGCUAACUACGUGCCAGCAGCCGCGGUAAUACGUAGGGGGCAAGGGUUAUCCGGAUUUACUGGGUGUAAAGGGGGCGCAGACGGCAGCGCAAGCCAGGAGUGAAAGCCCGGGGCCCAACCCCGGGACUGCUCUUGGAACUGCGCGGCUGGAGUGCAGGAGGGGCAUGCGGAAUUCCUGGUGUAGCGGUGAAAUGCGUAGAUAUCAGGAGGAACACCGGUGGCGAAGGCGGCCUGCUGGACUGCGACUGACGUUGAGGCCCGAAAGCGUGGGGAGCAAACAGGAUUAGAUACCCGGGUA